rnacentral:rRNA from 1 species
AGGGCACCACCAGGAGUGGAGCCUGCGGCUUAAUUUGACUCAACACGGGGAAACUUACCAGGUCCAGACACAAUAAGGAUUGACAGAUUGAGAGCUCUUUCAUGAUUUUGUGGGUGGUGGUGCAUGGCCGUUCUUAGUUGGUGGAGUGAUUUGUCUGCUUAAUUGCGAUAACGAACGAGACCUUAACCUACUAAAUAGUGGUGCUAGCAUUUGCUGGUUAUCCACUUCUUAGAGGGACUAUCGGUUUCAAGCCGAUGGAAGUUUGAGGCA